CACGGUGCCAUUAUUGACCACGGUCAGUUCCGAAGAGGUCUUCUCCCUUUCUAGGGUUUCGAAGGUCAAGCGAACAGCGAUUCCAACACGCUUCUGGGGAAGGAGAGACCCGCUGAAUGCCUGACUAGAUAAAAAUGCAAAUAGGUGACUAUCCAGGCUCCUUGUGACUGCGCCUGAGGGAGGCCCUUCCCGCAGACCCGUCAUUUCAUCUCCCAAGUAUUCCAGUCGACUCCAGAACCCACUGGUCUCCUCACAGCUCUGGCAAGGAAGGAUACAUGGGUCAGAUCACCUGGACACUUUGGAGAGAGGCUGGCGGAGGUGGGGGGUCCGGGCGGACAAGACUGCCCCACAGACUUCAGAUGCUCCCUCUGGGGGAUCCGCUGCUGCCCUGGGAGCAGGAAAGAAGCACCCGUUUUGAGGGGCGCCUGGGUGGCUCAGUCGGUUAAGCGGCCGACUUCGGCUCAGGUCGCGAUCUCGCGGUCCGUGAGUUCGAGCCCGCGUCGGGCUCUGUGCUGACAGCUCAGAGCCUGGAGCCUGUUUCCGAUUCUGUGUCUCCCUCUCUCUCUGCCCCUCCCCCGUUCAUGCUCUGUCUCUCUCUGUCUCAAAAAUAAACGUUAAAAAAAAAAAAUUAAAAAA